CGGAAGGGGAUGUGGCGUACAGCAGCCGACGGGCUGCCGUGCUGUUAGUUGUUGAGCCGGGCCGCAGCUGCCGUCCAGCCGAGCCGGAGCGCGGGGUGCUCCCGCAGCAUGGAGACCCGGGAGCUGCUGCAGGAGCUGUGCGGCUCAAUGCGCGCCGUGCUGGCACGGGUUAGAGAGGGAGAACCGGGUGAAGGCCGCGAGCCGUUCGAGCCUCCGCGCUUCUGGGAUGCGCUAGGUCAGGCAUUCAAGGCAACAUCCCAGGAAGCUACAAAGCUUAGUCUGGCGUUCUCGAGACCUCCACUGCCUUCUGCAGAGAAUUGUCGGAAGCUGAGUGAAGAUGUCCAAAAUGCUAUUCUUGCAGUUGCCACAGUGUACUACUGGCUCCCCAAGGGCCAAGGUACUACACUUCGGAAGAUGGUACGAGAUGCUACCACUGAAGUAUUGGAAGGAAUGAUCCAGCUCACAGAAACAAUUCUCAUUUCUCCAUUGGGAAGCUCAUCUCAGGAGCAGCUUAUAUCAACUGGUGGUGUGUGGGAGGCAUGUGAGCAAGUGUCCAGCCUGCCACGAGAUAACCAGGCAGCAGUUGUGUCAUCUCUGUCUGCAUUUCUAGGUGUGGUCAAGGAUGCUGUGGAAGAGAUGGAAAAUGCUAUAGUGGAAGAACGAGACCCCUACAGUGAUAUCAUAGAAGAUGAGGAGCUUGGCUUUCGGGGUAACAGAGAUACCUAUUGGUCAGAAGCUGACCGGAAGCUACUUGGCUCCUGCAUGGGAUUAAUGAAGGCUUCUAAAGCUUGCCUGAAGAAGGUCUUGAAUGCAGUGAAGACUUAUGGAAAAGCUGACUCUCCAGAUCAGAUUGCUCAGCUGGAUGACCUUGCAGACAUUGCCAAUGAGAUCAGUCCAAGCGUUGAUGAGCUGGCAUUGAGCAUGUACCCACCUAUGAACCAUCUGGCCGUGCGACUCAAUGCUGCUAAAUUGGCCUCAGUAUUAAAGAAAGUCUUAGAGAUUACAAAGUGAGUAUGAGUUACAAUUUAUGAGCAUGUGUUCGCUGCUGUGAAGGUUAAUAUCUCUACUUCCUGUCAAAGAUGAUUCAGUUCUAGACAGUAAAUGCUGUCGUGUUGGAGUAAUUCUGAUGUUACCCAGACACAACGCAAUAGGAAGAGGAUGGCAGGAAUGAUUACUGCUGAAGAUGGACAUAUGUGUCAAGGACAAGCCAUGUAUGUCCACCAUCAGAAGAAGGCUGGGUGCAGUUUCUAACAGGUGCAGUAGAUCACAACAUGGACAAAAUCAAGAACUUCACACAGGGUGAACUUUAGCUCUUCUGUGUCCACAUGUGUUAUUGGCACUGGCUCUGAUAAAUGCUUUUCCAGUGAAUCUGGCCAUUCUCCAGCUACAGGGAGAAUUAUGAGGACAGUGUUUUUGGGCAGGGACUUUAUUACCGCCUGGCAGAACUUGCCCAGAAAAUCCCUCUUUGCAGUUGCAGAAGAUGUCAUUUCGCUUGGACUCUUGGGAUGAUGCAGUGCUUCAUUUUCAGCUGUGAAUGUGUUCUGUUUCUCAGACAUUACAGCUACUGUGGGGUUCAGAGAACAAUAAAAUAUUGCUAGAUUUGCGUCGUUA